rnacentral:rRNA from 1 species
UACGUAGGGUGCAAGCGUUGUCCGGAAUUAUUGGGCGUAAAGCGUCCGCAGGUGGCUAUGUAAGUCUGCUGUUAAAGAGUGAGGCUCAACCUCAUAAGAGCAGUGGAAACUACAUGGCUAGAGUGCGUUCGGGGCAGAGGGAAUUCCUGGUGUAGCGGUGAAAUGCGUAGAGAUCAGGAAGAACACCGGUGGCGAAAGCGCUCUGCUAGGCCGCAACUGACACUCAUGGACGAAAGCUAGGGGAGCGAAUGGG